rnacentral:lncRNA from 1 species
CUCAGUGAAUUGCACAUGUGUUACACUCUUUACAUAAUAAUGCUUACCUGAUUAAAUGGUUGUCCAUUUAGGAUGCUUGGGAAAAACUUCUCAAGUCUAAGAGGUAUGAUCAAAAGGAUGAUUUCACUGUGUUCUUCAGCCUUCUCUCCAAGAAACAAAUCUUUUGCUCAGUCUGGGCAGGGAUGGUUUCUUCAGCACAUCAAAGACACAAGUGGAAACUCUGGAAGAAGAUUAUACUUUCAUGACUUUGAGCCUCUGGAAGAACAUGGUGAGCAGUACUACAGGUUUUAUUGCUUUACUGGACUUAGUACAGACACUUGGUAGCAAUUCCACACUAGCCAGGCUCUGAGUAGCUUGGAAGAUAGGAAGGAGGAAUGUAGGAAAGAAACAUCCCAUGAUUUAUUUUCAGUGUGAAGAAUCUACUCUCUUAUUAUCCUAAAUGCCCCGUGGCUGCUACUUUCUAC